CCUACGGGAGGCAGCAGUGAGGAAUAUUGGUCAAUGGCCGGAAUCCUGAACCAGCCAAGCCGCGUGAAGGACGAAGGUGCCAAGCAUUGUAAACUUCUUUUGUCAAGGGACAAAAUCAGGCUCGAGAGCCUGACCGAGUGUACUUGAAGAAAAAGCAUCGGCUAACUCCGUGCCAGCAGCCGCGGUAAUACGGAGGAUGCGAGCGUUAUCCGGAUUUAUUUGGUUUAAAGGGUGCGUAGGCGGACUGUUAAGUCAGCGGUAAAAGCCCGGGGCUCAACCCCGGCGAGCCGUUGAAACUGGCUGCCUUGAGAUGUCGAGAGGUAUGCGGAAUGCGCAGUGUAGCGGUGAAAUGCUUAGAUAUCGCGCAGAACUCCGAUUGCGAAGGCAGCAUACCGGCGGCGAUCUGACGCUGAGGCACGAAAGCGUGGGUAUCGAACAGGAUUAGAUACCCUUGUAGUC
rnacentral:rRNA from 1 species